rnacentral:rRNA from 1 species
UACGUAGGGUGCGAGCGUUAAUCGGAAUUACUGGGCGUAAAGCGUGCGCAGGCGGUUGUGCAAGACCGAUGUGAAAUCCCCGGGCUUAACCUGGGAACUGCAUUGGUGACUGCACGGCUAGAGUGUGUCAGAGGGGGGGUAGAAUUCCACGUGUAGCAGUGAAAUGCGUAGAGAUGUGGAGGAAUACCGAUGGCGAAGGCAGCCCCCCUGGGAUAACACUGACGCUCAUGCACGAAAGCGUGGGGGAGCAAACAGG